AUUAUAGUUGGUUUACAGCUUUUUCUAGUUUUAAAUGGCUUGUCUGUAUAGUUCUUUAUAUAGUCUGGAUGUGAGCCCUUUGUCAGUUUCAUGUAUUACAAGUUUCUUCUGCUAGUCUAUGAGUUGCCUUUUUAUUCCAUCAGUGGUAUCUUCUGAUAAAUAGAUGUUCUUGAUUUUAAUAAAGUCCCAAAUUACUAAUCUUUCACUUUAGUGGUCUCCUUUUUUUUCUCCUUAUAGCUAAGGUCAUGAAGCUAUCCCUGAGAUUUUUAAUUUGUGGCCCAUUGAGAGGGCCGCCUUAAUGAUGCGGAAGGCAUGUUGCUGCUGCCAGUGAUCCGCUUGGUGUGCUCUUGUUCUCAUAACUGAGUUUUCCCUAAAGGGCUCCUGGCUAUGCGGUGGCAUUCAGGAGCCAGGCACCUUGGAGAAAUGCUCAGCUUGUUAGCUGGAACAGGAGGCAGCUUGGAGUUUGUUGGCUUGACAUGGGCAAGGCCCCUCUUCAGUUCCCUACCCCAGGGAUCAGGCCAGCAUCUCCCUCCAGUCACAUUGCCAGACUCCCUGGGAGCCUGUCCACGGUGUGAGGCCUUUGGUGGGACUGUGGGCAGCACGGCUGGCAAAGGUUGAACAACUGGCUUCAUAGAAAGAGCUGUGCUAUGGAGCAUUUACCAGUUUCUAUGGUGUAAAUUGUCCCACUACAGCCAAUUCCAAGCUCCCAAUGUGUUCCCUGAACAUGGAGUAGGGAGAGAAGUGCAGGAGCUGUCCACCAUACAUAUGCAAUGACAUACACAACCUCAAGUUCAUAGCUAAUAGUAUAGAAAAUAGUUAGGAAGUGGUGGACUUUGAGAAUUCCCUACCUCUGUUUUAUUAUAUUUAUUUAUUUAUUUAUUUAUUUAUUUACUUAUUUACUUUUUUUAUUCUUUGUCUUUUUGCCUUUUCUGGGGCCACUCCCAUGGCAUAUGGAGGCUCCCAGGCUAGGGGUUGAAUCGGACCUUCAGCCGCCGGCCUACACCAGAGCCAGAGCAACACCAGAUCCGAUCCGCGCUUGCAACCUACCCCACAGCUCACGGCAACGCCGGAUCCUUAACCCACUGAGCGAGGCCAGGGAUCAAACCAGGAACCUCUUGGUUCCUAGUCAGAUUCCACUGAGCCACCACGGGAACUCCCCUACCUCUGUUUUAAAUCCAUUAGCUUACAUGACAAUUUUUACUAAUGGCUAUGUUUAGCAGUCAGCUCACAAAAUUCCUGAAAAUGUUCCGGCUCUUGUUCACCAGCUCAUCGGUGCUGGCCCGGCGUUUUAUAGGGAUUGGGGAAGCAACUUCUGUGUGGUGGGACAAGGGGGCCGAGGUCAGCUCUCAAUAGUCAGGUGCCCAAGGGAGUAGGGUUUCCAGCUUAGCUAAGCCCCAUCCUAAGUGCUCCCUGGGGACCCCCACUGCCAGUGUGGAUGAAGCCUUCCUGUGGACUGGCCAGUCCAGGCUCACCGUGCCACAUGCUGCAGGACACACUCCCCGGAGGACAGAAGGCUGGCUUGCCUGAGUUAUCUGAUUUCCAGAAGAGCAUGGAGAAAGUGGCGAUGGGCCUGACCUGAUUAUGUGGGUGCUGGGCACAGCCUCAUGCCUGGAUUCCAGAUCCUUACCCCACUAGUUCUGGCCACAUAGUGCUCGGGAACACGCUCAUUCUAGUGAUCCUGCUGUUACUUAAUCUCCAUCAGUGGUUCCCAGUUCCCCAAAGAUAAAGUCCAAACUCCUUAGCCUGGUCUGCAAGGCUCUAGGAAUUUUUAUUUUUUUAAUUGGGCCAUGCGGAAUUUGACCCUUGUUCAUCCAGACUCCAGGGGAAGCUAGGCUUUUUCACCUUCAUAAAAUGCUGUGCAUUUUUAUACUCCUGGGCAAGUUCCUUCUACCAAGAGCACCUUCUCCCAUCUCGACCCAGGAAAAGCCUGCCCAUUCUUCCUGACCCAGAUGGAAUAAUUACACCUUUUAAGAAGGCUCAGCACCUCUGUGCCAGCCAGAAUAUAUCACUCCCCCUGCCCUGCCCUGCCCUGCCCUCAAGCCCAAGUGCAUAUCUGGUUUCCAGCACCUUUGGUGCUGCCUUGUCAGGAAAAAGGCAAGAUGUGUGUCCUCUCUGGACUGUGUCCAGGGUGGUGUCUUAUUCAGCGUUUUCUCCCUAGUGCCAGGGGCAUGGCUGGGUCUCAAUAUAGUUGAUACAUGAGAAGCCUGCUGCAGAAUCUGAGCACUUCAGUAGAAAGUCAUCUGUGUUGUUUCCUAGCAUCCAAGACCCUGAUAUGUGUGUGAUGCAGAAGGUUUCUUCAGACAUUCAAGUCUCACUGCCCACCUACCACUUACUAUCUGCCAGGAACUAGCUUGGGGACUCGAGGUAAAACCUCUGCACAUGACUGAUAGUCCUCCCAUACUCCUCCCUUCCCUGCUGUCCAAGGCACCUGCUCACUUUCCCACAGAAGCACAGAGACAGACCUGGUGCAAAUAGGCCUGUGGAAGCCAGUAUGAGGAGAUUCUGCAAAGGAGCUGCUAGGGGCACUGGCCUAGCUCAGAGAGUGAAGAGGAAGGUUCUUCCAAGAGCCUGAAGGGAGCCCCUGCCCUGGAGCUGUGUGUGGAUAUGUGUAUGCGUCUGUGCAUGCAUGUGUUGCAUGUGUGUGUGUGUGUGUGUGUGUGUGUGCUGAGGAGACAGUGAAAUGGAGCAGAAUCCUCUGGAGCAUUUCUACAUACAAAAGCCACUCUGUGUCCCCUGUUUGUAGAAAAAGGCUUAGACCUUUCUUGAGUUGCAAAGAGUGGGCUCAAGCAGUUGCUAAUGAGGGAAGUGAAGAAAUGCAGAAGCAAAGGAAAAGCAAAUAGUUUAGUGAUAAAACAGAGUCCUAGUUCCCCCUCAGGGGAUACACAGAAUAAUUUGAUGCAUCUCUUUGAGUUUUUGACCAUUACAGGGUCCUGGUAACUUGAAUGGGGUCUAGACACUCCUAGACAUUGAUCAUUUAAAUUUGGUCCUGAGUCUGAUUCAAAGUGGGCAAGCUCAUCUGGAAGUGUGAAGGUGAGUGAAUGAGACAUAUGAUUGUCUAUUACUGUGGUUUGUUUAAACUGAAUUCGCUAUUGGGAACUGAAGAAUAUCACUGUGAAAUGGCUCUUCUGACAUUCCCAAAGUGGUUUUUGUAUGUGCAAUUAGAAGCUGGAUUUCUAAGAAGUGUAAAUGUUACACCAGGGGUCUAAGGAACUCGUCUUAUCUGACCUUCUCUAAUUCCUGAGACUGAAAAAAGGGGGUGGGGUGAGAGGGCUUUUAAAUUCAAGCAGGAAACCUAUGAGACCGCUGUUUGUACAUGGAUGGAUGUAUGGAUGUGUGUGUCUGUGUGAUGCCGGAAAGAUGCUACCUGAAUCUGGGUUCUUGUUUACGGAGCUGAAGAAUGAACUUCAUGAACACACAGGCAGCAAGCAAGCAAAGUCUUCAUUACAGGAAAACAAAUAGCUCCCAGGACAGGCUGAGAGGGGGAAGAAGAGUCCCCCUCUCUAUUGUCCUAUGGAAGUCCAGAAAGAUGUGGUUUUCUCCCAUUGGCCUUGCCCAGUUACCUGUAUCAGUCCUUGUCCAAUAGGGGACUUAGGGGUGGAAAUAUCCCUUAAAUCUCAUGGUUUCUCUUCCCACAGACUGAGUCACCAUUCCCCUCAUUCUUUUUCUAUCAGUUGAGGAGUAGGUUAGAGAUUAAUGUCCACAGUCUCAAAAGGAAACAAGGCCUGUACUUAAGAGCUUACAUAAAUUCUUAGAAAUAUAAAGGAAAUUAAUCAGAAUGAAUUGCAAGUUCACAUGAUCUGGGAGAUAUUCAAUACUGAAUUAAUAUCUGGUAUUAAACUAAUCUGGCUGAUUAGUUUAAUUAGUGGGGACAUGUCUUUGGCAUCAUCAAUAUUGAGUAUGGUGGAGUUCCCUAGCAGCCUAGCAGUUAAGGAUUUGGUGUUGUCAUUGCUAUGGCAUGGGUUUGUUCCCUGGCGCAGGAACUUCUGCAUGCUGUGGGCACAGCCAAAAAAAAAUUAAAAUAAAAAAUUUAAAAAAAUUGAGUAUGAUAAUUUUGUUUUAUGCAGUCCAAAUACAUCAGUAAUUAUAAUAACUAUAAAUGGAUUAAAUGGACCACGUGAAAGACAGAGACUUUAAGACCGGAAUAAAAAAAAUUCAUAUUUACAGUUACAUGCCAUUUACAAGAGACAAACCAGACAGAAGAUCACAGAAAGAUUUACAGUAAAAUAAUGAAAAGGACAUAGCAGGAAAAUUUUAUCUAAAAGAAAGCUAAGGAGAGCUGUAUUACAUCAAACAAAACAAACUUUAAACCAAAGAGUG
rnacentral:lncRNA from 1 species